rnacentral:rRNA from 1 species
ACACAUGCAAGUCGAACGAGAGAUGAGGAGCUUGCUCUUCAAAUCGAGUGGCGAACGGGUGAGUAACGCGUGAGGAACCUGCCUCAAAGAGGGGGACAACAGUUGGAAACGACUGCUAAUACCGCAUAAGCCCACGGCUCGGCAUCGAGCAGAGGGAAAAGGAGCAAUCCGCUUUGAGAUGGCCUCGCGUCCGAUUAGCUAGUUGGUGAGGUAACGGCCCACCAAGGCGACGAUCGGUAGCCGGACUGAGAGGUUGAACGGCCACAUUGGGACUGAGACACGGCCCAGACUCCUACGGGAGGCAGCAGUGGGGAAUAUUGCACAAUGGGGGAAACCCUGAUGCAGCGACGCCGCGUGGAGGAAGAAGGUCUUCGGAUUGUAAACUCCUGUUGUUGAGGAAGAUAAUGACGGUACUCAACAAGGAAGUGACGGCUAACUACGUGCCAGCAGCCGCGGUAAAACGUAGGUCACAAGCGUUGUCCGGAAUUACUGGGUGUAAAGGGAGCGCAGGCGGGAGAACAAGUUGGAAGUGAAAUCCAUGGGCUCAACCCAUGAACUGCUUUCAAAACUGUUUUUCUUGAGUAGUGCAGAGGUAGGCGGAAUUCCCGGUGUAGCGGUGGAAUGCGUAGAUAUCGGGAGGAACACCAGUGGCGAAGGCGGCCUACUGGGCACCAACUGACGCUGAGGCUCGAAAGUGUGGGUAGCAAACGGGAUUAGAUACCCUGGUAGUCCACACCGUAAACGAUGAUUACUAGGUGUUGGAGGAUUGACCCC